GCCAGCGUAGCUCAACGGCAGAGCAACGCCUCCGUAACGCGUAGGUUGUCGGUUCAAAUCCGACCGCUGGCU
rnacentral:tRNA from 1 species